UCCGCAACUGAAUUUCAAGAAAAAAAUAUAUGCAUCCACAAUAGGUUUUUCCAAACUUGCUAACCUAUGCAGAUGCAAGGAUUAAGGACCGGUCCUAGGUUUAGGUACAUCUUUAAUAAGAGCCCAAUACAUCUAUAAAACACAUUGUUGAAAUAUAUUUAGCAAUAUGAACACCAACACUAAUUUAAAAAUGACUAGUUAAGUUUUGGGCAAAAUUUUAUUGGUGAAAAGGUGAAAGGAAAAUCCAAUCAAGAACGAAAGAAAAAACAAGUAAGCAGAACCAGAACAUGGGUCGGCCAACUAGCACCUUUUCCAUACACAUUAACUUUAAUUUUUUUACAGACUAUCUCAUUUAUUCAUUUCUAAGGCCCUUACUAACAUUUUCCAUGGUUUUCUCCAAUUCGUCGGUUUUUUAUUAUCCUCUUCUCCCUUUCCACUAGCAAUUUCACUCGUUUAUCUUCUGUUUUUUACUACAUAUUUUUUCUUCGUUUUCAUUAUCAGUUUUCCUUUUUUAUGUUUUUUAUUCUUUUAUUUUUCAUUUUUUUAAAUCCAUGAACAAUUUUUUCAAGUUCAUGAAUAUUUAUGAAGAUCACAAAAAAAAUUGAGUUCGCAAACUUAUUAAAACAUUUGAUUUUUAAUAGUGUUUUUAUAAAUUAAUGAAGAUUUUUAAAAUUCUUGUAAAAUAUUGAAUUUUGGAGGCAUCUUUCUAAAAUUGUGAUAAUCUUUCUUAAAGAAAUCUUGAGUAUUUUUUCCAUCGUUUGUGUUUUUAGACAAAUCAUGAGCAUUUAAAAAAAAUCCAUAAAGACAUUUUUCACUCAUGAAGAUUUUUUUAGAAUCUUGGAACAUUUUUUGGCUAUGACAAGAAUGCAUUUUUGAAUACAUCACUAUUUUUAUGUAUUCUCAUAUAUCAUUUAACUAACUUUUGAUUAUGCAUUCUAAAUCUACAAAACGUCGGUUCGGUUUUUUCGAGCAGCCAACCUUUGCCACUUUUUUUCUUUUCAAAGUGGACAGAAAUUUUUCUUUUUUCGAGGCAGCAAUAGUUUUCUUAAAACUUAUAAUGAAAAACAAUUUUUUUAAGUACAUAAAACAUGACCUUAUUUUUCCAGUGAAUCCAGGACGCUAGUUCUUUUUAGGGGAUCCGGGACACCACCUGAGCGAAGAGAAAAACAAACGAACGAGCGUGUUGUUAGGCUAUGGCCCACCGCACGAUAUCUCUACUUCUCUACUACUAUUAAACAAGCAAACAUAUUCAUCGCUAAGUGCACACAAUCUAACCUACACAUAACAACACUAAACAAUUAGAGCCCUACGAUCAAGCCCACUCAUUUAGAUCUAACCAUUAAAAUAGCAACUAACCCAAACUAAAGUACACCUACCAAUUUUUCUGGGCGGACGAAAACUCUGCCAUCCGCGUCCGCCCCACUCUCGUGCCCUUCGCCCACCCAUAACCCCCGUAAAUCACGCUCGGUCGGGUCAACGCCGACCUCCCCUUCCUCUCUCCCAUGGAGCGCCGCCGCCGCCCACAGCGUCCCCCAUCUUACCCGCCACCCACACCUCACCUCAGUCGCUGGCGGCCUCCCCCUCCACUACAUCGCCUCGGACCCCAGCGCCCGACGCCAGACACGCGAAGAGUAGACAUACAAAAGUCAUGGCUGGGACGCGCGAGGCUCCCACCGCUGCCAUGCAGGUGAGCCGCCGUCGCGGAUGCAUGAGGAGUAGUCGCCUCUUCCUGCGGGCACCCACGCCGUUCGCCUACUGCGUCGUCCGAUGUAGCGCACACUUCGGCCUUGAUUCGCCGCCGCCUCGCCGACCGGGUGCUCGGCCUACUGGACCUGGAUCCGGGCGACGGCAGAGACGGCGCCGGCCCCGGUGCCUCCACAUGAGGAGGAGGAAGAAGGCCUGGCCGCGCUACAUCCCCGUCAAUGCCCUACUUCCUCUCUACCAGGUGAGUAUGCACGGCUGGUUGUACGCUAGGUAUUUGAUGACACUUCUGCAAGGAAGACAGUGCGUGCUACUGUGCUUUUUCCAUCUCUCAUCUAGCAUUGUCGUUGGAGACCACGGUGAGUUGGUGACGUGAUCCAAUCUUUUACUCCCUCCGGUCCUAAAUAUAAGUCUUUUAAGAUAUUUCAAAUGGACUACAAGAUACAAAUGUAUGUAGAAAUAUUUUAGAGUAUAGAUUCAUUCAUUGUGCUCCGUAUGUAAUCAUUUGUUGGAAUCUCUAGAAAGACUUAUAUUUAAGAACGGAGGGAGUACAACAUUGAUUUGAAGAGUCUUUAGGCAGAGCAUGGGAGCGAUUUGGCACAUCCACCCAGUCGCUAAACUACAUUGCGCUCCGCUACUCUGAAUUCCGUCUAGAGAUCAUGGUUUUAGAACCGCUGGGUGUUGGUCAAACUUUUCUGGUCUCUCGGUCGCUGCUCCAAAAAACUUGCAUUCAGUACAACUGGACUCUACAAAGCACUGAUAUACAGCUCCAUGGUGUUAUCUGGCCUGGUCAGGCUGUUGAGAAACCCAUGGUUUGGUGUUUCGUAUCAUGGGAAGCUUCGUACAAGCUACAAUGGGCCUGAUGGGAUAAAGGGAUGUUCAGUUGAUGUUUUCAAAUCUGCAAUAAGCUUGCUGCCUUACCCUGUGGGAUGCAUUUUUUUUUAUUUCGAGAUGGAUUGAAAAAUCCGAGAUACAGUGACCUUGUACAAAAGGUGUCCAAAAUGUGAGUAACAUCUCCAUACCAUUGAGUCUGAAAAACUACUGCACCAUCUUUAUUUUGAUUUUAUUCAUCAGUGAUGCAGGUAAAAUUAGUUUAUUUUGUA